GUGGGGAAUUUUGGACAAUGGGCGCAAGCCUGAUCCAGCAAUGCCGCGUGCAGGAAGAAGGCCUUCGGGUUGUAAACUGCUUUUGUACGGAACGAAACGGUCCUGGCUAAUACCCGGGGCUAAUGACGGUACCGUAAGAAUAAGCACCGGCUAACUACGUGCCAGCAGCCGCGGUAAUACGUAGGGUGCGAGCGUUAAUCGGAAUUACUGGGCGUAAAGCGUGCGCAGGCGGUGCUGUAAGACAGGCGUGAAAUCCCCGGGCUCAACCUGGGAAUUGCGCUUGUGACUGCAGUGCUGGAGUGCGGCAGAGGGGGAUGGAAUUCCGCGUGUAGCAGUGAAAUGCGUAGAUAUGCGGAGGAACACCGAUGGCGAAGGCAAUCCCCUGGGCCUGCACUGACGCUCAUGCACGAAAGCGUGGGGAGCAAACAGGAUUAGAAACCCGUGUAGUCC
rnacentral:rRNA from 1 species